GGUUCCUGGUGUGCUGGAUAUGCCCCCUUCACCCAGCUAACACUCUCCAUCCAAGAGCUUCUGCUAAAGCCAUCAUGGCAGGCUGCCUAAAUACUGAACUUCCAAGCCUCUCCCUCCACUGUUGGAAAGAAACAUAUGGAAGAAUGAACGCAGAGUUUGCAGAGGGAUUUCUUACAUAAUUUAUCUGUCCAGUGGCACCAAGAAGAUGCAGGAACUCUUGGAUGAAGCCUUUCUUCCGUCUUUGCCAGCCAGACCCCACCUGUAUGGCUCAGGGCUUUCCUCCCGUCUCCACAGCCAGCCUUCAUCCUCAGGCUCAUCCUCCAUCCCCGUCUGCACCCUCAUUUGAGACAUUUGGGCUGUGCCUCACCAACGGGGACGGAGCAGCUGCGAGCACAGCAUGCAGAGCUGGGGGCCAGCAGCAGAGCUUGCCAAGAGAUCCAAGGAAGGGCUGGUUGUGAGGAGCUGCCCUUUGCUUCGUGCCUCCCUUCCGACUGCGUGGUGCGCUCAGCCAAAUAUCAUUGAAGGUUUAUCCACACGCUGAUCAAAUUAUUUGCUUUCAAAGCCGGAGCGAGAAUCGGUCUCCACGGGGAGAGGUGGUGGAUGUUGCACCAUCUUCCAGAACAACAGAGGAUGCGCAGGCACUCGGAGAGAUUGUCCAGGAAAGAAGUGGAAAAGAAGUGGUGAUGCCUUCAAAGUGGAGAAUGGGUUGAUAAGAGGGGAGUGGGGAGAGACAUUUUAGCUCCUACUGGGUAAUUAUCACCCAUGGAAAGCUGAGGAGUUAGCUGGUGGGAGGGAAAUUACAACCUAUCAUAAAACCAAUCUCUCCCAAAUCCAGUCUCUUCAGUGCUCAGGAGUGUUUGGUCUGGUUCCAAGGCUCGGCUUCUGGAGGAGUUUGAGAGGUCCCUCGACAGAGCUCCAGCCCUCUGCAAAGCAGACACCACAUCCCUUUUGUUCGGAGGAGUGCAGAAACGGGGCACGCGUCAGGCGAGGGGCUGGAGGAACACAAACACCUUCAUUCAGGAGAACCAGUCCUGCAGAGAAAGGCAGAUCAAUGCCAAGCAUCUUGUAGCCGAAGACAGAGAAAAUCCAAUUAAAAAUCAGGCAAUGCUGAGAGUCGAACAAGCUACGAAGUGAUGGAUUAUUCAUUCCAUGAUGUCUUCAAUACAAGAGAGGGGUAGAAUAAUUGAUCCUUCCAGCACUAUGUUUGUUGAUGGUGAACGGUCCAGUCCAACUUUUGGGAUGGUGCACAUUCCACUGUGAGAGCCAGGCCCUGACUUUGGCAAACUGCAAAGUUCCCAUGGAGCAUGGAGGACAAUCCACCAGCCCUACUAGGUAAGUUGUUUUAUGCUUGGAGGCAUUAAUAACCCAGAACUAGCAGCCAACUCCAUGGAAACCAACUGGUAGUCAGUGACAAGUUCUCCUGUUGCUAUAGGAACAGGGUCCAAACAAAUAAAAAUUACCUAUAAUUUCUCCUCCCCAAAGUUCUCCCACAUUACAUUGCCAUAGCAACUAAUUAGCUCAUUAUUGAUCAGAACCAAACCAGGGGAGGUGUGAACCAGAACCAAGCCAGUGGACCAGUGGAAGUGCCCAGCUGCCAUGGCCAGCUCCAUCCUCUCGUGGCGAGCUGAGAUGAGCCUUUAAGAUGGUUUAUGCUGGGUUUGAGAGGAAAGGCUUGAACAUGAGGAGCUGGGGAUCUCAGGGCUGGAUUCCUUCAUGCCUUCCACAGGAUACCUCUGAUACAAAUAUCACUUGCUCCCUUCUAUUUCUAGCUGUCACCUUACACCUCAGGUUUUUUUUCCUCGGCGUUCCUUUCCUGAUUUCCCCCGUCUCCCAGCUCCUCCAGGCCCAGAGUUGCUCUGUUGGGCACCUGCUUGUCUUGGCAAUGUUCUCUCAUCCUUCUGGCCAGGAUAUUUGAGUUUCUUGGCUUGCUGCUACCUCUCCUGGACCAAGCCAGCACACUGCAGGGUCCUUGCAGGAGUCUCUCUUUCCUCAUGUGCACCCACAACUACAGCCCUCCAUCCUGCUCUGGCAGUUCACUGUCAUAGAUCUCCUCCUUCUCCACCCCUGGAAGUGUCCAAAGACAGAUUGGAUAGGGGAUGCUGGAUUUGCUCCAGCCUGCAGCAAGGUGGAAGGUUUUGCCAGGAAAAUUGCCUUUUCUUAACCAAACAAACACAACCUGCAGGGUUCAGCCCCCACUGGGACAUUCAGUUAAUUCACUCGUCCCCAGAAUGUGACUGUCCCCAGAGUGGACAGAGCCUGGCUGCUGUGUCACUUCCCUGGUGUCUCAUGAGGACCAGGUGGCAUCACACGAGCCCCUGUCUCUCCUCCCUCCUCCACCAGCCCCGUUUUCCACGUCUCCCACGGGAAUCUGAUUAUCAGCAAGAUCUCUGCCACCGUCAGAUGUGAUCAAAACCACAAUUCAAUUAAAUUUGAUUGGGUUGAAAGCAGAGGGUUUGAAGGAGACAGGCACGGACACCCAGAGCAGGAUUUCAUUCCCCAGGAAAGCAGGCUGGGAUCUGUAGGAUCUGCAGGAUGGUCACCCCAGGUGAAGGAAAAGCCAGGAUGCAGCUCUGACCCUGGGAUGAACUCCAUCCUUUGGGGACAGGAGCCUUUGCCAAGUCACUCAUCCUCCUUAUAAAGGAUCCUGGAUAGAGUAAGGUGAGCCCAACCUCCUGAAGACGCUUUUAAUUCUUUCUCAUCUUUUCAAAUCAAAUAAAAUUCCAAAUGAGAAACUUUGUCAUCUGAGCAACAGAAAAGGAGAAAAAAAAACCCACCAGCCAAACAUCCCUGGAGAUGAAAGGGAAUUGUAGAUGGGUAUUUCAUCUCUUGCUCUUGUAAGGAACGUGAACAUAAAAAAAGGGAGAAACAAACAAAAAAUCCCAGACACGGUUAAUGAGCUUUGCAUUUAAAUGUGCCACCAAUGUCACUGCACAGACAGUUCCUCCAAGGUCCCACAUUCCUGCUCACCCCAGACAAUGGGUCAGAGCAAACAUUGGGUGAGAUUAAAUUCCACUGGUGUUUAGUAAAUAAAACAUUCAUUUCGAGAAAUCAGGAAAAAGUUUGUUAAAUAUUUUAGUACAUCUGGUCUCCCCACCCGUACGCGGCCUUACAAAAUGUUUUGCAUAUUUAUUUUAGCAUGCACUAGAUUUAUUUAAAAAUAGCAUCACCAGCACUGGAAACAGCCCACUUGCUUUUCAUCUACAUCUUUGCAUUGAAUCAAUGAAUCCAAAAUUAAACAAGGUUGGGUGAACUAAAUCUAUAAAAGGACCUAUUUGCUGAUCAAUACACGAAUGGAUGCCUGGGAUCUCUUUGCUGGGUGAAAUAUGAGGACUUACGAGAGAGAAAUUGCUUUUUUUAUUAUAUUUUUUUUAAAAUUCAGAUUUAAUCUCCCCACAUAAAAAAAUUAUUUAUCGGAGAGAUGCUUGGUCCUAAAUAAUUCAUGCUGGUUGUAUAGUACCCAGAAGACAGAAGACUCCUGUCUUCCAUUCCUAAUGAGAGGGAAAAACACCUCAAAUACUUUUCUUGGAUUCACUUUCAUGACUACAGGGAGAUUAAAUUCUACUUGGCUUCCAGAGAGCGUCCUCCCCCAGGGGAGCAGAGCCCCCCAAAUCACAGAGAAACCACAACAUGCUGUGUAUGGAAGGAGAAGAGCUUCAGACACGUCUGGAGGCCAAAUUUUAGCUACCAUAAGAGACACCUGGCUCUGGUGUUGAGGUUCAAGGUAUGACUUUGGUGACCAAGGGGCCAGAACACAGAAGGGUCUCCUGAAAAAGCCAUCUCAAUAUAAAUAAUAGAAUUUUUUAUAUAUUUUUAAUAUAUAUAUAUUGGCCAUAAUAUAAAUUCAGCCUCUCCAAAACAGGGUAGGGGUGAAGCCACCCCGGGGGCACCAAGCCCUCAGCAAAGCAGAGCUGGAAGAAGAACAAAGUGAACCCAGGGAAAAGGCAAGCUGUAACUGUCAGUGGAAGUCUCCCCUGGCCAAAAACAAAAAUAGAAUUUGGGCUGAAGAGUGUAGAUUUUGGGGGGGAGAGGGGAAAAAUUAUUGACCUUCUAGCCCAUCUUGGGCACAAAUUUGGGGCUGGCUUUGGGAAGUGCCUCUCAUGGCUUUUUGCUCAGCCAAGUCCUUUUCUCCUAAGCCUGCUGCAGGAAUUGAUCCACGAAGGAUUGUACCUGCUCUGCUCUGUAUAAAUCUGCAUAUCAGCCUCUUCCAUGAAUGAAAAAUGCAUGCACCAGUAAAUCUGAGGUGAAAUAAUA